CCUACGGGAGGCAGCAGUAAGGAAUAUUGGUCAAUGGACGAAAGUCUGAACCAGCCAUGCCGCGUGAAGGAUGAAGGCCCUCUGGGUUGUAAACUUCUUUUAUAGGGGACGAAAAAAGGGAAUUCUUUCCCACUUGACGGUACCCUAGGAAUAAGCACCGGCUAACUCCGUGCCAGCAGCCGCGGUAAUACGGAGGGUGCAAGCGUUAUCCGGAUUUACUGGGUUUAAAGGGUGCGUAGGUGGGCAGUUAAGUCAGUGGUGAAAUCUCCGAGCUUAACUCGGAAACUGCCAUUGAUACUAUCUGUCUUGAAUAUCCUGGAGGUGAGCGGAAUAUGUCAUGUAGCGGUGAAAUGCUUAGAUAUGACAUAGAACACCAAUUGCGAAGGCAGCUCACUACGGGAUUAUUGACACUGAGGCACGAAAGCGUGGGGAUCAAACAGGAUUAGAUACCCUGGUAGUCCACGCCCUAAACUAUGGAUACUCGACAUCAGCGAUACACUGUUGGUGUCUGAGCGAAAGCAUUAAGUAUCCCACCUGGAAGUACGAUCGCAAGAUUGAAACUCAAAGGAAUUGACGGCUGAGACGAGACGAGACGACGACGAGGGAGGAGG
rnacentral:rRNA from 1 species